GACAGAGGGUGCAAACGUUGCUCGGAAUUACUGGGCGUAAAGCGCGUGUAGGCGGACCGAUGUGUCAGGUGUGAAAUCCCCGGGCUCAACCCGGGAACUGCACUUGAAACUGUCGGCCUUGAGUACCGGAGAGGGUGGCGGAAUUCCUGGUGUAGAGGUGAAAUUCGUAGAUAUCAGGAGGAACACCGGUGGCGAAGGCGGCCACCUGGACGGUUACUGACGCUGAGACGCGAAAGCGUGGGGAGCAAACAGGAUUAGAUACCCUGGUAGUCCACGCCGUAAACGAUGAGUGCUAGGUGUCGCGGGUAUUGACCCCCGCGGUGCCGAAGCUAACGCAUUAAGCACUCCGCCUGGGAAGUACGGUCGCAAGACUA
rnacentral:rRNA from 1 species